rnacentral:rRNA from 1 species
UUUCCUCUGAGUGGCACAAGCAAAUAAUUAAAACUUUUAACAACGGAUCUCUUGGUUCUGGCAUCGAUGAAGAACGCAGCGAAAUGCGAUAAGUAAUGUGAAUUGCAGAAUUCAGUGAAUCAUCGAAU